rnacentral:rRNA from 1 species
CGGACGGGUGAGUAACGCGUGGGUAACCUGCCUCACACUGGGGGACAACAGUUAGAAAUGACUGCUAAUACCGCAUAAGCGCACAGGAUCGCAUGGUCCGGUGUGAAAAACUCCGGUGGUGUGAGAUGGACCCGCGUUUGAUUAGCUAGUUGGUGGGGUAACGGCCUACCAAGGCGACGAUCAAUAGCCGACCUGAGAGGGUGACCGGCCACAUUGGGACUGAGACACGGUCCAG